rnacentral:tRNA from 1 species
GGAGGGGUGGCCGAGCGGUCGAAGGCGCACGCUUGGAAAGCGUGUAUACAGGAAACUGUAUCGUGGGUUCGAAUCCCAUCCCCUCCGCCA